rnacentral:rRNA from 1 species
AGGUAGCAUAAUCACUUGUCUCUUAAUUGGAGGCUGGAAUGAAGGAGGCGACGAAACUUGGGCUUUUGGGUUUAAAUAUAAAAUUAACAUAGAGGUCAAAAGGCCUCUAUAUAUCAAAGGGACGAUAAGACCCUAUAAAACUUCACUAUAAAGUAUAUUGCUUAGGUAAAAUUCAUAUUUAUAGUUUAACUGGGGCGGUUUAUAUAAAAACAAUUGUAAUAGAAAUAUAUAAAAUAAAAUUCGAGAGCUCUAAUAUGAAAUAAAUAAGUUACUUUAGGGAUAACAGCAUAAUUCUCCCAGAGAGUCCUAAUUGGCGGGAGAGCUUAUGACCUCGAUGUUGAAUUGGGGUGUCUAGUAUAAGUAGAAAUAUACUAAGAUAGUCUGUUCGACUGUUAAACCCCC